rnacentral:rRNA from 1 species
CCUACGGGAGGCAGCAGUGGGGAAUAUUUCACACUUUAUUUCCCUCUUCUUCCUCUCCUCCUCUUUCUUGAAGAAGUAAUUCUUUAUUUAAAGCUCUAUCAGCAGGGAAGAAAGUGACGGUACCUGAAAAAGAAGCUCCGGCUAAAUACGUGCCAGCAGCCGCGGUAAUACGUAUGGAGCAAGCGUUAUCCGGAUUUACUGGGUGUAAAGGGAGAGUAGGUGGCAGAGCAAGUCCGAAGUGAAAACCCAAAGCUCAACUAUGGGAAUGCUUUAGAAACUGCUCAGCUAGAGUGCAGGAGAGGCAAGUGGAAUUCUUAGUGUAGCGGUGAAAUGCGUAGAUAUUAGGAGGAACACCAGUGGCGAAGGCGGCUUGCUGGACUGUAACUGACACUGAGGCUCGAAAGCGUGGGGAGCAAACAGGAUUAGAUACCCGUGUAGUC